AACGAACGCUGGCGGCAGGCCUAACACAUGCAAGUCGAACGCUCCAGCAAUGGAGAGUGGCAGACGGGUGAGUAACACGUGGGAACCUUCCCUAUGGUUCGGAAUAGCUCAGGGAAACUUGGGGUAAUACCGGAUAAGCCCUUGGGGAAAGAUUUAUCGCCAUUGGAUGGGCCCGCGUCGGAUUAGCUAGUUGGUGAGGUAACGGCUCACCAAGGCAACGAUCCGUAGCUGGUCUGAGAGGAUGAUCAGCCACACUGGGGACUGAGACACGGCCCAGACUCCUACGGGAGGCAGCAGGUGGGGAAUAUUGGACAAUGGGCGCAAGCCUGAUCCAGCCAUGCCGCGU
rnacentral:rRNA from 1 species